rnacentral:rRNA from 1 species
GACGAACGCUGGCGGCGUGCUUAACACAUGCAAGUCGAGCGGAAAGGCCCUUCGGGGUACUCGAGCGGCGAACGGGUGAGUAACACGUGAGUAAUCUGCCCUUGGCUUUGGGAUAGCUACCGGAAACGGUGGCUAAUACCGGAUACGACAACCGUCUGCAUGGGCUGGUUGUGGAAAGGUUUUUCGGCCAGGGAUGUGCUCGCGGCCUAGCAGCUUGUUGGUGGGGUAAUGGCCUACCAAGGCCUCGACGGGUAGCCGGCCUGAGAGGGUGACCGGCUGCACUGGGGCCGAGACACGGCCGAGACGCCGAAGGGGGGCAGCAGUGGGGAAUAGUGGAAAAUGGGCGGAAGCCUGAUCCAGCAACGCCGCGUGAGGGAUGACGGCCUUCGGGUUGUAAACGUCUUUCAGUACCGACGAAGCGCCGAUGAUGGUGGUGACGGUAGGUACAGAAGAAGCACCGGCCAACUACGUG